rnacentral:rRNA from 1 species
AUUGAACGCUGGCGGCAUGCUUUACACAUGCAAGUCGAACGGUAACAGGCCGCAAGGUGCUGACGAGUGGCGAACGGGUGAGUAAUGCAUCGGAACGUGCCCAGUCGUGGGGGAUAACGCAGCGAAAGCUGCGCUAAUACCGCAUACGAUCUAUGGAUGAAAGCGGGGGACCGUAAGGCCUCGCGCGAUUGGAGCGGCCGAUGUCAGAUUAGGUAGUUGGUGGGGUAAAGGCUCACCAAGCCAACGAUCUGUAACUGGUCUGAGAGGACGACCAGCCACACUGGGACUGAGACACGGCCCAGACUCCUGCGGGAGGCAGCAGUGGGGAAUUUUGGACAAUGGGCGCAAGCCUGAUCCAGCAAUGCCGCGUGCAGGAAGAAGGCCUUCGGGUUGUAAACUGCUUUUGUACGGAACGAAACGGCUCUGGUUAAUACCUGGGGCUAAUGACGGUACCGUAAGAAUAAGCACCGGCUAACUACGUGCCAGCCGCCGCGGUAAAAC